ACAAUGCGGAACAAUGUUUUGCAAUUGGAUUGAGAACAACGUACAAACCUUAUCGAUAAACAAUUGGAGGGCAAGUCUGGUGCCAGCAGCCGCGGUAAUUCCAGCUCCAAUAGCGUAUAUUAACGUUGUUGCAGUUAAAAAGCUCGUAGUUGAAAUGAAGGGUAGUUGUGUAAUGAAUACAUUCGUGUAUUUUGUUAUUCUACUACCCUCCUUCUAAAUUCGAUAUAUGAGUAUUAAUUUACUUGUAUAUGGUUUUAGACUUUUACUGUGAGAAAAUUAGAGUGUUCAAAGCAGGCAUUUGCUUGAAUAUAUUAGCAUGGAAUAAUCAUGUAUGAUUUUCAUGAUGUAUUUGAUUGGUUUGGUUCAUGAGAAUAAGAUUAAAAGGGACAGUUGGGGGUAUUCAUAUUCAAUAGUCAGAGGUGAAAUUCUCGGAUUUAUGGAAGAUGAACAAGUGCGAAAGCA
rnacentral:rRNA from 1 species